GGGGAUUAGAGCCUGGGUUACCUUAUUGGAAAGCGAGUGCUCCAUCACCUGAGCCCUUAUAAACUAUCAAGGUUCUUUAGACUUUGGAUCUGGACAGCGAUGAAGAAGAUUAAAGCUUUGUGCUCCAAAAUCACUGAAGAAGUCAGUGCUUAUGCUCAAAAAUCAUACAAGAGCUUAUUAUUCAGACAAACGAAAUCCAUUAACUUUAGCUACAUUGAGCUAUUUAAACUUAAAAAAAUUUCUCAAGUUUUAUGAGCUGGUUGGUCAAGUCAUAUACCUAAGCAUUUAUAUGGUCAAAUUAUAACUACAGAUUUCUAGCUUGAUGCCUGGAUUUAUAUUUCUGAAAACUACAUUAUGUGCCCGGGGAUUGCCAUUGUCUACAUCGGUGGAUGCUAUGCUAAGAUGGUCUUACAUCUCUAGAUGGAAAGUUAUGGGUCAAAUUAUAAUUACAGAUUUCUAGCUUGAUGCCUGGAUUU